rnacentral:lncRNA from 1 species
UGGAGGUUCCCAGGCUAGGGGUCGAACUGGAGCUGUAGCCGCCGGCCUAUGCCACAGCCACAGCAACGUGGGAUCCAAGCUGCAUCUGCGACCUACACCACAGCCCACAGCAACACCAGAUCCUUAACCAAGUGAGCAAGGCCAGGGAUCAAACACGCAACCUCAUGGUUCCUAGUUGGAUUCGUUAACCACUGAGCCAUGCCGGGAACUCCAAAUUGUAGCUAUUUUUAUCAUUAAACAUUAUUGAACAAUGUAGAUAAAGGUACAUAGUUACAACUGUGAAUUUGUAUUUUAUUACAAUUUUAAUCGUAUAUAUGCACACGUGUUUACUCAUACUUUCAAUAGAGGUUAUCUCUGCAACAAGGGCCUGAAAAAAUCAGAGAGGGGAGAAAAUACAUUUCUCCAUUUUUCAUUAUGUUCCCUUCUGAAAUCUUUUAUUCUUUUUUAAGCAAAAGCAUGGAAAACCUUUACAAUAAAAACUGAUGAAAAACCUUGCUACAUAAAAUAAAUUGUUAAAGUUAUUCUCAAAGCUUAGCAUAGUUAAAUGGAAAUCAAUGUACAGAAAAAAGUAAAGAACCAGGUUUGUUAGCACAGAAAAGAAGAGAAUUGGGCUAAGAGGAGAAGAAGUAUCUUUACUCAAAAUUGAUAAGGGUUGCCAUGUGGAAGGGGAUUGGAUUUAUUUUCUACCUAGAGGGCGGAAAGGCUGAUUUUUGUCUAAAUAAAAGAAGGGGCUCUAUACCAAUUAGAGCAGUCCAAAGGUACCACCUCAGAAGGCAAUGAAGGGUCCCUGAAGGCUGCAUGGACUCCCCUUCUACGUCUAUGAAGCAUAGCUGUCUCCAGGCAUUUGAAAUUUAACAUGAAUUAGAUGAACCAUCCUUGCCUUCAACUUUCAAUACCCUUAAGUGGGCAGAUAUUUCUAAGUAAUACCAGUGCAUAUAUGCUGAUGAUAUUUCAAUGAAUUAUGAAUUUAUCCAAGUAAAUAAUUCAUAAGGUUAAAGCCAGAUUCAAAUGCGGACGCUGUGUUUAAACACUACCAAGAUGGUAUUUGUUAAGGACAGUUUUUGUUUUCAAUCAGAUUCAUAUAAGGCAGGAAAACAUUUUAACAUUCAUUAUUUGUAUACUUUCUAAAAAGCAUUUUAGCACUCUUCAUUAUCCUUAUACUUUUAUAUUUCUGCUGCUUUAUGGCUUGUCAUUAUGAACUUGAUAAGUAAAGCCUAAUGUUAUAACACUUUAUGACUCAAGAUUGGGCCUUUUAGUUUUGUGGAUUCUACUUUCCAUGGAAGGUGAAAUGCACACAGGAGGAAUGUGGAGGCUCUGUGCUAAUGAAUCAGGAUAGCUGCAGUGUCAUUUGGGAUGUGAGAGGAUGACCUUCAAAUGACAAUCUUCUAGAGAAUAAUUUGAAUGAAGAGGAAGUGAGACAGGACAGGCAGAGAGCCCUGCAAGAUAAGUUCAGCAAGGGGGCUGCUCUGGAAUUUACCUUGAGUUUGUUGACUUAGGAAGUCAUAACACUUCCUCUGAACAUCUGCCACUCAUCUAAGAACAGAGGGGAAAAUCAAAGUAGAUAAUAUUGUUUCUAUUUCCACGAUGAUGUUACACUUAGUUGGGGGGGGGGGGUACUUAGACCUUAGAGUCAGAAGACUCAAAUCUGGCUGUCACUAAUUUGCUAUUUUACCUUGAACAAGUCUCCUGCCAUCUGUAAGAAUGUUUCCUCAUCUCAUAAACUGGAAGGGCACAGACAGCAAAAUGUAGAAAAAGUGUAAAUGCAUUCUCAUGUUGUUUUGAGCCUCAAACUUAAAAACUUAGGCUCUAUGGUAAGAACAACUAUGAUGAGUCUCCUUUCUUAAAUGUGGAACAGGCUUGAAACAUUUCUAGGUUUUCCAGCUAGUAACAAUAGUGCAGAGGUGGGAUUCUAAGUCUUUGAGUACAGACACAUGCUCCCUAUCCAGCUAAGAGAAUUCGGGGGAAAUGAAAUAAGAGAGACGUCCAAGUGUUCUAUCUAUCAUAAAUAGCAAUACAAAUAUAAGGUAUUUUUAAGACUAAGCUUUAAAUUCUCUAAGGGACUUUGACAUAGUUUUUCCAUUCUUAAACAUUUCUGUUAGAGCAAAAGCCCCAUGAACCACCUACCCUAUUCAGCAAGUCAUAGUACCAUAGCUGAAUACAUGGGCAGAACAACUGCGGGUUUAGAAGUGAUCCAUGAGUUUAAUUAACUAUCUUAAAUAAAUGGAAAUAUUUACACUGCACAAAGCCACUCUUUGAAACUCUUAUAAGAACUAUAAUGAGACAAGACAGAUAAAGUUGCCUAGUAAAUGAAAACCUGCUAAGCACUACAAAAAAGCCCACUCUGAGGACCCAAUUCCUUAUCCAAACAGCAUUCUUCCAAAAUGCAAGCUGAAACCAAGCCACAAUAUUCUCCCAGCCUAAAGGGGUUGGGUGGUGAAUCCUGCAACCUCUUCAUGGAAUCGUCAUUUGAUCACUGGAAGAAUCAGCUCCUAGCAACAGCACUUUAGAGAUAACAGUAUUCUUAAUAAAAAUGCUUUUUCAUUACAACAAUUUAUCAAAGCAAUUCAUUCUUUUCUCUAAACCUAUUGUAAAAGUCUGACUGCAUUUCAAAAAAUUCUCAAAAAGCUAGGACUUGGCAUAAACUGCUCUGUGUUCAAGUUACCGCCCCUAUUGUAUGAUGCUCCCCUCAAGGUCACAAGUGUCUCAUUUACUACUGUAUCCCCUACAUGUUGAAUUUAUUCUAGAAUGUAACAUACUUUAAAAACAAAUUCCAAUUCUCAAAAUGAAAAUCUGUAUGAAAAUGAAAAUAUACAAAAUUUAAUACUUCAUUUCCCUGAAGUGAAGCUCCUCUAUACUCACUUGGAAAUAUUCGUUUUCACUUCAGUUACUUGUUUAUAUGCACACUAUGUUCCAAAAAAGAUUAUAGUGGUAUCAUUUAGAGUACAUGAAAUUUUUUUACGAUUUAAAGAGUAGCGCAUUCAGUCAAAAGAUGGUUUGUACUUUUAUAUAUCACAUAUUUGUAAAAACAUAAAUCAAAUAACCAUGUACAACACCAAUACCAAAGCCCCUGAAACCAUCAGUCCCUUGGAGAUAAUUUUAGCUUUUAAUUCAAAAUGGUCUGGAGAAAACAUCCCACAAAUACUUUAUUUAAAUUCAAUAAGAGCUUGUACAGGUAAAAUUACUUUUCAGCCUGGAUAACUUCACAUUUGUGGACAAUAUUUCAUCCCACUUAUGGAAUGAGGAAAACAGAAAAUAGUAACCCAGAAAAAGUCAUUACACAAUUAAAAGAAAUAAAAAUUUGCUUGCAAAGUGCAGACAUUAAAUUCAGUUUGAUUUCAUUACUGCCCAAACAACUCAACGUGAAUCUUUCCUCUGGAGUCCUCAGUUGCCCAGUACUAAAGUGACCAAUAGAGAACAAACCACUGAGCACCUCAAUUAUAAAUUAAUCCUCCUGUUCUAGUUCCUUGAAAAGGUAAGCAAACAGCUAUAAUAACAUUCCUGGUUCAACAUGGAUAUAUUAAAUAACUGUUUUGCUAUGGAAAUCGCCAAAAGAGCAUUUUCAAGAGAAAAUCCAACUUGCUAAAACGCUUUCUAAAAAAGACAGUUGCGAGCCCAGAUGCAAAGUUUAGAGGCAUCUCCAUUUUCCUUACAGGUAGAGGUUUAUGAAAUAUUAAUGCACUCGGUGGAAAAGUAUAAAGAUAAACGAAAUAAAAGCCAACAACAGAGGAAAUAAAUUUCAUUGUGCAAAUCAUAAACACAGUGUAAAAGAGCUCUAGAUCCCAGGUAAAAUGUGCUCAAGAAAGGUAACAGCAUUAACCCUAGCAGACAGCAGGGAGACAAGAGGCAGAGCUUUACAGAAUUGCAAAUAACAUCAUCAUUAUGAGAAUAAUUAUUGCAAUAAAUACCGUCAGCAGGCUGCAAAAGCAAUCAACACACUUGGUCCUUCACCUCUCUCCCUCCUCCAGCUGGGUAGUGAAAGCAGCUGCCUCUCCCCGCCCCCUUCCCAGCCGCUCCUCGCGCCACUCCCUCCCCAUCCGGUCCACACCUCCCCUCCCCUUUCCCCUCCUCUCCCCGCCCCCAGCUGGUGUAUUCAGCAGCCUAGCGAGAUUAAGAGGCGCUCUCUACGGCCACUGGGCCUCCGGACUGAUCUAACGUUUCCUAGCUCCCUUGACUAGAGAAAUUAGAGACGCAAACCCUGGUGGUGUUAGGUGCCUUCGCCUUCAUCCUGUCCUCUCCUAAGCUGGGACUGGGGUGGGAGCUAGUGGACUGGGCCGCAACUGGAGGGCCCAGCAGAGUUCCGCUGGGCAAUGCCCGCCGCCGCGCUACCUGAGCUGUCCAUGGUGCUGGCGCGGUCCUGAGGCUGCCGGGCGGGACUCCGCGCCGCCGCUGCCGCCACCCCGGCGUUCACUCUCGGCUUGCCGCCUCCCCCGCCGCUCCCUGCACUUAAGUCCCCGUUACUGUCCACCAGCUGCAAGGAUUCAUAACCAUCGUUGCUAGUCUUUUUCCGGUAGCUUCCGAGGAGGCUCAUGGACAAGCCCAAAAAAGAAGGGGAAAAAAAAAAACAAAACAAAACAAUCUGGGGAGAUGAAGGGGGAGGUGGAAGGUGGAAAAGGCUAAAGGAGAAAAAAAAAUUUUAAGGGGGGGAAAAAAAAAUCAAGUGCCCCACAUGACGCAAAGAGGAGGGAAAGAGGGAGCGGCCAACGGAGAGGAGCUUUGCCGGCGCGGCGAAGCCACCGCCCUGGGCAGAGCGCAGCUCUGGGCACCCGGCGCUAGGGCGCGAGGGAGGGAGGACGCGGGUGGGCGGGUGUGCGCGUCCCCGGGGCUGCCGUCGUGGAACCGCCGGCCGUGCUGAGCUCCGGACCCCGGGCCAGCCGCCCUCUGGCUGGGGAGUGCCCGGAAGCAAUCCUAUAGGUGUCGCCGCGUCGCCCCGCCGCGCAGCAGGGCAGCUCCAAGCGUGGCUGGCCCGCGGGGAGGGAAGGAAAGAGGGAGUAGGGAGCGGAGAUUCUCGGGGAGGGGGGCUGAAGGCAGAAAACGGGGCGGGGUGGGAAGGGGAGGGGACUACUACGGCUAGAGUAGAGGGUGUUUUCGCGCAAGGGAGGUGAAGAAGAAAGGGGCUCGGUGUCUGCCUGGUAAGCUUUAGGGACGAGGGGGGUCUCUUGGUAAGAUCCAGACACGCCCAUUUUGUAUACCUUAGCCUAUAUUUACUGGAAGAUUCGGCGAGUCAAGCCACCCCUGCAGUUGCCCUCCUGCAGGACUGACUUGCAACUCAGCUGAACAGAAAAAGAACGCAUGUUCUGCCAGGCUAUAUGUAUGCCAAGAAAGAAAGAAACAGCAUUGUCGUGCACAUUUCUCAGAAUGAGUAAGAUCGCUGAGAGAUCAAAGGCCUGGCUAGUUUAACGCUAGGAGGCAGUUAGAGUCCAUUCCACCUAGUGAGUAGAAGUGACUGUUUAAUAACUAUUUGUUGAACGAAAAAAAUUGGCGGAGUGGGGGAGCAAGGUUGAAUCAGGAGCGAUUUCAGCUCUGACAUCAUUUACCUUGGGACCUGGAGAAAUGUCAAUACCACUCAGCUGGCUUGAGGGGACUGGUGGAAAGCCAGCUAGACAAGGAUUUUCCUUCUAGUCUCUGGCCCUUCCCUCUUUUCUUUCACAAUUCUGAGCACAGAGAGCAGCCACUCAUUAAUCAGAGAAGAAUUUAUCAACAAGUUAAUGAAUCAUAAGAGUGAGGACCCCGUUUUUGAAGAAGCCCCUUUCAAAGCUGUGCAUCUAAUUUUAUAUUCAUGGUUUUGUAUUCUUAAAGAGGAGCCCAACAUUGUUAUCAGUUUCAAGCCUUAUGAAACCUGGUUUAACUGUUAAGUCUCCAAAUACAAUUACCAAAUGUUCCUUUUCACCUCAAACAAUAAGAGUACAGAAGUAUCCUGCAUUCUCAUCAUUUCAGGUGAAGACCAGGUGAAAACCUUGGUUUAAAAUGACCUUUUUCGGAGUUCCUGUC